rnacentral:rRNA from 1 species
UACGUAGGGUGCAAGCGUUGUCCGGAAUUAUUGGGCGUAAAGCGCUCGUAGGCGGUCUGUCGCGUCUGCUGUGAAAACUCAGGGCUUAACCCUGAGCUUGCAGCGGGUACGGGCAGACUAGAGUGCGGUAGGGGAGACUGGAAUUCCUGGUGUAGCGGUGAAAUGCGCAGAUAUCAGGAGGAACACCGGUGGCGAAGGCGGGUCUCUGGGCCGUAACUGACGCUGAGGAGCGAAAGCAUGGGGAGCGAACAGG